GUGAGAGGAGGAAGGCCAGAUGGCACAGAUGGACUGGGAGGGGAUCAGGAGCCGGCAGUCAAUGAGCAAUUAAGGCUGAUUGGCAUUUCAGUCAGGAGGCUGUCUAAUGGGAAUGGUGGCGGGGAGGGGAGGGGUGCAGGGAGGGGAGGAGGUGUGGCAGGCAGAGGUGGGGAGUGGCUUGGUGAUAUGGGAGCACACGAAGUAGGAUGCUGUCCCUGACUUCUAUCCCAGUUCUGGAAGCUUCCAAGGCUCACCUGCGUGGCCACAUCAAAGCGCAGCCGCUCCGGGUUGAGAUGGGAGCCCCGCUGUUCGGUGGUUGGUCCGAGCGUCUGCCGAAGUGCCCAGUUCAGCAGAGCUGCACUCGGUCCCCGACUUGUAAGCACUCGGGAGCCAUGGCCUCAUGCAGGAUGAAGCCUCCACAGACCUGAGCCCGGGC
rnacentral:sRNA from 1 species